rnacentral:rRNA from 1 species
CCUACGGGGGGCUGCAGUGGGGAAUAUUGCACAAUGGGCGAAAGCCUGAUGUAGCGACGCCGCGUGAGUGAAGAAGGCCUUCGGGUCGGAAAGCUCUGUCCUAUGGGAAGAAAGAUGACGGUACCAUAGGAGGCAGCACCGGCUAAGUACGUGCCAGCAGCCGCGGUAAUACGUAGGGGGCGAGUGUUGUCCGGAAUGACUGGGCGUAAAGGGUAAGUAGGGGGCUAGAUAAGUCAGAUGUGAAAGGCAUAGGCUUAACCUGUGUAAGCAUUUGGAACUGUCUAGCUUGAGUCAAGGAGAGGAAAAUGGAAUUCAUGGUGUAGCGGUGAAAUGCGUAGAUAUCAGGAGGAAUACCAGUCGCGUAGGCGACUUUCUGGACUUAGACUGACGCUGAGGUACGAAAGCGUAGGGAGCAAACAGGAUUAGAUACCCAAGUAGUC